CCCGCCGCCGCCACUCUCUCAUUGGGAUCCUCCCAGAUCCCCUCCUCACCAACCCAUGCACAGCCACCCACCUCCCCAGAUCUUCCCCGACCAUUCCCCUUGAUUUCUGUUGCCGCUCAGAUCCUGCAAGAGCCAGGACUCCUCUGCCACGGGCCCGAGUGGGGAACCCGUCACCGAGCUCCUGCUGCACUAGCCGUGACCAAGGCGCCUGCAGCCUCUCAUUACCCACGUCCCCGUUUGCCUCCCGUGCUGGAGCGCGCCGCAAUCAGCUCGCCGGAGCCGAGCUCCUCCCGCCGACGCCCUCCGCCACCCAAGCGAGCCCCGGCGCGCCCGAUGCCUCCGCCUCGACUAGCGCCAUCCAAUCCGCGUCUCCUCCGUCUCGUCCCUGCCACCGGCAGCAGGAGCAGCUCCUGCAACCCUGAACCCCGAGCACCUCCACCGUCGUCGUCUAAGAUGAGCGCCGUCCUGGUUCUCUUUCUCUCUUUCCUCCGGUUUGGUCUUCUCAUCUCUCUCUCUCUCUGUGCGUUGCAGCAGCUGCCUCGCGCCAUGGAGCUCCAAGUCCGCCAGCCCGCCUCCGCUUCGAUCCGGCAGGGAAAGGGACCCCGGCGACCCCCUGCGACCGGAUCCGGGGAACUGAGCCGCCAUGUCCGUCGCCCUCGUUUGUUCCUCGCCAGGAGACCAACUGCAGCCUCCUACCGUCGCUCGGAUCCGCGUCGCUUCGCCUCCGGCCCCUGCCCGCCGGAGUCGCGCCUCCCUGUGCCCCACAGCCCCGCUGCAUCGCGCCUCUGCUUCUGCUCUUCAGAAACGAGCGCCCGCCAAGCCUGCUUUUCCCCACGUUGACCGCAUCCCUCUGCUUCGUCAGAGCCUCCAGCGCCCUCCAGAUCGGGCCUGAGCCAAGGCCCAGCUCGCUCGCGCCGCCCCUCAGCCUGCUGCUUUCACCGAACCGGGCCGAAGUCCACUGGUUCCGGUAACGUUGCGUUCAUGAGGAUUCGUUCGACUACGUUGGUUCGUCUACUUCAU